rnacentral:misc_RNA from 1 species
ACCAAAGCGAAUCUGGGAAUGCAGAAUGGCAAAUACUACACCAUAAAGGAACAAAAAUGUGGGCAUUGUAGUCUUGUAAUGCCAAUCUGGUGAAUAUAUGAUAUAAAUGUAGAGAAGCAUUUCCCAGACCAUGGGCGUCUCAUCACAUUGUUGUUGCAUCUGCCCCAACGUGGCAUGAUAUAUCAUGCUACGUUGGGGCAG